GACGAACCACACAAACGUUAUUCGGAAUUACUGGGCUUAAAGGGUGCGUAGGCUGCGCGGAAAGUUGGGUGUGAAAUCCCUCGGCUCAACCGAGGAACUGCGCCCAAAACUACCGUGCUCGAGGAAGAUAGAGGUGAGCGGAACUUACGGUGGAGCGGUGAAAUGCGUUGAUAUCGUAAGGAACACCCGUGGCGAAAGCGGCUCACUGGGUCUUUUCUGACGCUGAGGCGCGAAAGCUAGGGGAGCAAACGGG
rnacentral:rRNA from 1 species